GGUGCUUUACGGGAUCAGCUACCGAUUGCUAUUGAUGAUGAAGCAGAUUUGAUCGGCCAAGAAACGGCUAAGGAUGAUGAACUAGAUUUGGUCCUUCAAGAAAUUCAAAUGCUAGAGAAUGCUCCUGAUGGUCCACUAUUAGCGAUGGCUAACAAUCAAGAUGGCUGGCGUUUAAAGGAUGUUUUAGGAUGGGUUUUCCCCCAUCACCAACUUUACCAUGGAACUCCCAUCUGCGGUUUUCGAUCAGCUUUCCUCCCAAAAUCACCCUCAUUACGCGCUCAUUGUGAUGUUAUUUUCGUUCAUGGCAUUGAUGUCUUGCAUUGCUGAGCUUAUUUACAAAGGUAAAAUGGAAAGAGUCACUUGGCAGUGGAGAGGCCGAGUACCUUGGUUUUAUCGACCAACCGGUAAGCCUUUUGGUACCAUCUGGGAGAUCAUCGGAUUUGCUUCUGCUUUCCUUCAGUGUGUUGUUACAACAAUCAAUUAUUCAUUUAUUUAUCGACAUCAUGAUGGCCCUAUCAAAACAUCUGCUUUGCCAAUCCUCUUUGCAUUCGCUUUGCUGUGCUCUAAAUACUUGAAGAAGCCAGACAGGAACAGAGGAGGAAACCCGCGGUUUAAUAUAGGGGCAGUGAAAGAUUGAAUUCUAAACGAAGAAUAAGAUAGAAUAGAAAGAAAGGGAAAGUGUACUCAAAAAUUAUCUUCUGAUAAAUUGCGAGAGAAAUUUCAGCCAUUGUCAGUGUUCAACUUGUUUGAAUUGCAUUCAGGUUUUCAUUAACAGUAUUGCUCUCAAAUAAAUAAUUUCUUGGUUGGCUUGUAAAACCUGCAUGCAAUGUGGAAUUCUUGUGUAUAGUUUCUGAUA